rnacentral:rRNA from 1 species
GCUGACGAGUGGCGGACGGGUGAGUAAUGCUUGGGAACUUGCCUUUAGGUGGGGGAUAACAGUUGGAAACGACUGCUAAUACCGCAUAAUGUCUACGGACCAAAGGGGGCUUCGGCUCCCGCCUUGAGAGAGGCCCAAGUGAGAUUAGCUAGUUGGUGGGGUAAAGGCCUACCAAGGCAACGAUCUCUAGCUGUUCUGAGAGGAAGAUCAGCCACACUGGGACUGAGACACGGCCCAGACUCCUACGGGAGGCAGCAGUGGGGAAUAUUGCACAAUGGGGGAAACCCUGAUGCAGCCAUGCCGCGUGUGUGAAGAAGGCCUUCGGGUUGUAAAGCACUUUCAGUUGUGAGGAAAGGUUGGUAGUUAAUACCUGCCAGCUGUGACGUUAACAACAGAAGAAGCACCGGCUAACUCCGUGCCAGCAGCCGCGGUAAUACGGAGGGUGCGAGCGUUAAUCGGAAUUACUGGGCGUAAAGCGCACGCAGGCGGCUUGUUAAGCUAGAGGUGAAAGCCCCGCGCUCAACGUGGGAACUGCCUUUAGAACUGGCAGGCUAGAGUCUUGGAGAGGGGAGUGGAAUUCCAGGUGUAGCGGUGAAAUGCGUAGAUAUCUGGAGGAACAUCAGUGGCGAAGGCGGCUCCCUGGCCAAAGACUGACGCUCAUGUGCGAAAGUGUGGGUAGCGAACAGGAUUAGAUACCCUGGUAGUCCACACCGUAAACGCUGUCUACUAGCUGUUUGUGUAUUUAAUACGUGAGUAGCGAAGCUAACGCGCUAAGUAGACCGCCUGGGGAGUACGGCCGCAAGGUUAAAACUCAAAUGAAUUGACGGGGGCCCGCACAAGCGGUGGAGCAUGUGGUUU